CUUUUGGACCUCCAGAAUUAUGUGCAAUAACUGGUUUAGUUGAAUACAUUGCUUCAAGUGGAACUAUACCAAAAUGUUCAUUUGGAGGUCGAUUUUGACAAAAAAUAAGAUAACUAGCUGCAUAUAUCUGCAAAAACAAAGGAAAAUUAUAUUUAAAAACAAUUUAUAAAAAAUAAUUAAAUGUUGAGCCUGUAAGAAAGGGACUCACCAUACGAAUAGAAACAAUGCUCCGGAUCGUGAUGAGUUGUCACGAAAUUAACCUCGUGCCCAUUUUUCUUUAGAGCUAACGCAGCAUCAACCACUAACCGUU